rnacentral:rRNA from 1 species
GAUGAACGCUAGCUACAGGCUUAACACAUGCAAGUCGAGGGGUAGCAGGGUAGCAAUACCGCUGACGACCGGCGCACGGGUGAGUAACACGUAUCCAACCUUCCCAUCACUCGGGGAUAGCCUUUCGAAAGAAAGAUUAAUACCCGAUAGUACUUUUUUGAGGCAUCUUGAGAAAGUUAAAGAUUUAUUGGUGAUGGAUGGGGAGUGCGUUCCAUUAGAUUGUUGGUGAGGUAACGGCUCACCAAGUCUUCGAUGGAUAGGGGUUCUGAGAGGAAGGUCCCCCACAUUGGUACUGAGACACGGACCAAACUCCUACGGGAGGCAGCAGUGAGGAAUAUUGGUCAAUGGGCGAGAGCCUGAACCAGCCAAGUAGCGUGAAGGAUGAAGGUCCUAUGGAUUGUAAACUGCUUUUCCCCGGGGCGAAUAACCCCCUCGCGAGGGGGAGUGCCGGUACCGGGGAAGUAAGGAUCGGCUAACUCCGUG